GUAAGAAACAGCAAAUCCAAAUUUAGGCAAAGUUUUCUGAGCUGCGGAUUCGCCCUUCUUCCAUUCUUUCUGCGGCGAAUUCUUAUUAGAGUGGACGUGUAGAAAAGAUCUCCACAAAGACGAAAUGGGUCAUACUAAGGAGCAAUUGCUUGUCCGUUUACAGGAGCUUCAAAUUGAUUUCACCAAACAUGAACACCCAGUUGUUUUGACAGUUGAAGCACAGGCAAAGCAUGUUGGGCAUCUGAAUGGGGCAUUGAGUAAAAACCUAUUCUUGAAGGAUAAGAAACACAGGUUCUAUGUUGUUUCUGCAAUGGCAAAAACCAAUGUAGAUUUGAAAGUUUUGUCUCAGAGGCUUGGUUUGGGAAAAGGAGGGUUAAGAAUGGCUCCUGAAGAAGCACUUGGAGAAGUACUUCAGGUGCCGCUUGGCUGUGUCACCCCUUUUGCACUUGUAAAUGAAUCAGCAAGGUGUGUUUCCUUGUUAUUGGAUCAGGGAUUUAAAACACAGGAAUGCUGCUUCUUCCACCCACUCUCAAAUGAUACAACAAUUGCUCUUAAUGCUCGUGGUCUCGAUAAGUUUCUGAGUUCCAUAGGAAAACAAUCAGUCUAUGUGGACCUUGAGGCUAAUCCUCCAGUAGGAAAGGAUCAACCUCCU
rnacentral:misc_RNA from 1 species